GCUCGACUAAUGUCUGUCCCACCUUGACUUUACAGUGCAUGAACAGCAUGAUUUGAGUUUCCACUAGACUUGUGUUAUGGACGGAUUUUACGGGCUGUGAUUGGUCGUAUUCAAAUCAAUGACAUAUUUGAUGACAUUUAAAAGAAAUACGUAACCAGGGCCCGGAUUACGUACACUCGAUACGCAUCGUAUCCGCCAUGUUUUACUGUAGCGCCUUAUGGGAAAACAUGGCGGAUACGAUGCGUAUCGAGUGUACGUAAUCCGGGCCCUGUUUUCUCGUUCGUUUUUGGUUAUGCAGUGUGUUUAUGUUAUACAAAAGAAAAAUAUUGGUAUUUUAGUUAUUAAUCUUGGAUUUUGAGACUAUUUUAUACGUUUAUACUUGUUUAUUGUAUUCAUUUUUAAACAGCCAUAUUAUUUCCAGCAAAAGUUAUGGAACGUUUACAGAUACAUAGUAAUAUUUAUAAAAAAAACAAAUUACUUUCUGCUUGCUUCCUAUAUUUUGUAAAUUUUUAAAGCUUCCUCCCAGACUCAUUUGAGUAUAAGGUGGUUCAUUUUUCCGAAAUAAAUGGAAAGGAUGGCGCAUUUAAUGCAGUGAUUUGAGCUAAUAUAACAACACAAGAAGAUGCUCAAAAUUGUCAAAAAGAAUAUGAAAAUGUUAAUAAAGUAAAUUUUAGAGUUCUAAGAACUUAUCCAAAUGAUUCUAUGAAGCUUGUUUUCAAGAAAGACUAUCGAUGCCAUCGCAAUACUCAGGCUAAUUUGCCUUCAUCAAAGACAAAAAAUCCGUCAUCUAAACAUGUUAACUGUCAGGCAUUCUUAAGAAUUACAGUGAAACAAUCAAGUAUGAAAAGGUAAAGUCUAUUUGCUAAUCUGAGACACAACUACUGUCUAGUGACGUUGGUAAUUUUUUUGAGAAGUUAGGUUGCUAGACGUAACUGGAAAAGACUACACAACCAAACAUAACUACUCAUAGCCAAUAUUAUUAUUAACAGUAAACAGGCAUAAAUAACAUAACAUACACCAUACACCAAUCAAUAAUUAUUUAUUUACACCUUUAUAAUGUAUUGAUAACAAAUGAGAAAAGUAUUUAUUGUACAAAAUAAAAAUAUUUUAUAGAAAUAAAUUCCACAAAAUUUUA